AUGGCACUAAUCCAACCUUUCACCUUCAAGGAGAUCACGAAUAACCUUAAAGAGAUGAGAGGGAACACGACCCCUGGCCCUGAUGGUUUUCCGGUAUUGUUCUAUAAGAAAUUUUGGAAUCUGGUGGGGCCACAAUUCGCCAACCUGGUCCAGGAGUUCACGCUUGGAAAAAUCGAUGUGAAAAGGUUAAAUUAUGGAGUUUUGGCUCUCCUCCCAAAGGUCCCGGGCGCCGACAACAUUAGACAAUUUCGCCCCAUUACCCUCAUUAAUGUGAGUUUCAGGCUCUUCGCGAAGGGGUUUGCAACACGCCUGGCACCGGUAGCGAAUAAAGUGGUGGACCCAUGUCAAACGACAUUAAUUCGAGGCCGUAGUAUACUAGAUGGGGUGGUAGUCUUAAAUGAAGUAUUGCAUGAGGUUCAUCGCACAAAGGAGGAAGUGUUCAUACUUAAAAUCGGUUUCGAGAAAGCUUACGAUAGAGUGAGGUGGGAUUUCCUAGAUGAGGUGUUGAAGGCUAAAGGCUUUGAUCCAUUGUGGAUUGAUAUGUCUCCAACGUAUCUAUAA
rnacentral:rRNA from 1 species